rnacentral:rRNA from 1 species
AUGAGAGAAUUUACUAAAUAUAAUUAUGGGUUCUCAUUUAAACCCGAAUUUCAAAUCGGCGCACUCAAUAAAAAUAAACACAGCCCUAAAAGAAAACAAUCGCCCAUUGGGGAUGUGGGGCCAACCGCUGUUAAUCGGGCCACUUUCCCCUCCCCUUCUUUCCUAUCCCGCCGCCUCUUCGUCCAUGUUCCGGCAUGUCGCCGGCCAUCUUCCCCACCGCACCAACGUCCUCACCCGAAUCCACCCGCCGCCAGGAUCCGCUGUUUGGAGAUGGCCCGCCGCAAGGAGAUAUUAGGCAUCGCGAUGGUACAGAAGCGGCGCGGCCUCAGGUGGGAGGAGGGGGCGCUGCUCUGCCGCUGCUUACCGGCGGCGCUGGUGGCUUCAUUUCGCUGCUAG